rnacentral:rRNA from 1 species
UACGUAGGGUGCGAGCGUUGUCCGGAAUUAUUGGGCGUAAAGGGCUCGUAGGCGGUUUGUCGCGUCGGGAGUGAAAACCCAGGGCUUAACUCUGGGCUUGCUUUCGAUACGGGCAGACUAGAGGUAUGCAGGGGAGAACGGAAUUCCUGGUGUAGCGGUGAAAUGCGCAGAUAUCGAGGAGGAACACCGGUGGCGAAGGCGGUCUCGUGGGCAUUGACCUGACGCUGGAGGAGCGAAAGU